ensembl:lncRNA
CUCUCUGAACAUUUUAAACACAGCAACCUUCCUUCCUUGUUUUUCAACCGAACAGUGAUUACUUCCAAGCCUAGAGAGGUAGAUAAAGAGAAUUCGAACCAGGCCCUAUACUUCUAAAUAUCACGUGAUUUUGGCGCGACACUGGCAGCCAGAACGUCGGGAUGAGACGUUUUCAGUUUGUUGACAUUGUUAUGGUACAGUUUAGUUGCGCCACUGUUUUGUUGAACUAUGCCUAAAGCUGCAAACCAUCUUGAUAGAUGCCGUCUCUGCGACCAAAAUCGAAGGAUAUUUGGUGCGCUCCAACAUGUGCGUUCCCUUGUGUCAAAGUCGAAUUGUACCAUUCUGACUAGGUUAUCAUCCCUCGGCAUAAACCUGACACUGCACGAAGAUACAUCGACAAUGAUGUCAGAAGUGUUUUCGUAACAUUAGUAAGGUUGAAAAGACCAUGCAUGUGUUACAUGCAUGGAAAGCUACAACGCAAACACCGGCGUUUGGAACUCCCGGCGAAGAAGUUAUGAAUUCCCAACAAGGCCCAGUAGAGACCGGAAGAGAUGAUACCAAGACCAGGUUUUUUAUUAUUUUAAAUGUUUUAUUAUUAACAACAAAUCAAUACAUAAAGCACAUGAGAGAACACAAGCAUACAUAGAUUACAAACCAUGGACAAUCGCGCUAGGGGGUACAAUAUCACAUUACAAUUACACAGGGACAUGCAUAUACUUACAAUUCUAACAGCUUUUUUGUUAGUGAUACCAAGACCAGGUGUUUUAACUGUGAUUCCGUGAAUGAGGUACCCGAGAAGAAGCGUCAACGGGAAGAAAGCCCACCAACUACAGGCAGGGGUGCCAAGAAGAGAUGCAAUGUCUCUACAAAAUCCCCAGAGAAGAACAUUAUGGUUGAGGUGUUGGAGGGAGGGAGGGGGGUUGAUAGCCAAGAGAUGGAACUGAGCCCGUCGACGUCACGGUAACAUGGAUGGUGUUUAUUCCUACUGAUGAACGUCUCCCGUUUGUCUCGCCCCAAAAAACUGCUGUGCUUUUUAUUUUUAGUCAUACUUCAGGAUGGUAGUUCAUUUCCUGUUUCACAUGUUACUGGUGUACGUACUGGUGUUUACAUAAGUGUUUUAUCUUAUGUCCCCUUUCAUCACCCACUGGCUCCAGGUCAUCUACAAGUCCAUGCUAGGUAAAGCUCCGCCUUAUCUCAGUUCACUGGUCACGAUGGCAACACCCAUCCGUAGCACGCGCUCCAGCAGGUGUAUCUCACUGAUCAUCCCUAAAGCCAACACCUCAUUUGGCCGCCUUUCCUUCCAGUUCUCUGCUGCCUGUGACUGGAACGAAUUGCAAAAAUCGCUGAAGUUGGAGACUUUUAUCUCCCUCACCAACUUCAAACAUCUGCUAUCUGAGCAGCUAACCGAUCGCUGCAGCUGUACAUAGUCCAUCGGUAAAUAGCCCACCCAAUUUACCUACCUCAUCCCCAAACUGUUUUUAUUUAUUUACUUUUCUGCUCUUUUGCACAACAGUAUCUCUACCUGCACAUGACCAUCUGAUCAUUUAUCACUCCAGUGUUAAUCUGCUAAAUUGUAAUUAUUCACCUACCUCAUGCCUUUACACACAAUGUAUAUAGAC